UGGGGAAUAUUGGACAAUGGGCGCAAGCCUGAUCCAGCAAUGCCGCGUGUGUGAAGAAGGCCUGCGGGUUGUAAAGCACUUUAAGCAGGAAAGAAAAGACUGAGGAUAAUACCCUGAGUCCGUGACGUUACCUGCAGAAUAAGCACCGGCUAACUCCGUGCCAGCAGCCGCGGUAAUACGGAGGGUGCAAGCGUUAAUCGGAAUUACUGGGCGUAAAGCGCGCGUAGGCGGUUGACUAAGUCCGCUGUGAAAGCCCUGGGCUUAACCUGGGAACUGCAGAGGAUACUGGUUGGCUAGAGUGUGGUAGAGGGUAGUGGAAUUUCCGGUGUAGCAGUGAAAUGCGUAGAGAUCGGAAGGAACACCAGUGGCGAAGGCGACUAUCUGGACCAACACUGACGCU
rnacentral:rRNA from 1 species